UGGGGAAUAUUGGACAAUGGGCGAAAGCCUGAUCCAGCCAUGCCGCGUGUGUGAAGAAGGUCUUCGGAUUGUAAAGCACUUUAAGUUGGGAGGAAGGGCAGUCAGCGAAUACCUUGCUGUCUUGACGUUACCGACAGAAUAAGCACCGGCUAACUCUGUGCCAGCAGCCGCGGUAAUACAGAGGGUGCAAGCGUCAAUCGGAAUUACUGGGCGUAAAGCGCGCGUAGGUGGUUUGUUAAGUUGAAUGUGAAAUCCCCGGGCUCAACCUGGGAACUGCAUCCAAAACUGGCAAGCUAGAGUAGGGCAGAGGGUGGUGGAAUUUCCUGUGUAGCGGCGAAAUGCGUAGAUAUAGGAAGGAACACCAGUGGCGAAGGCGACCGCCUGGGCUCAUACUGACACUGAGGUGCGAAAGCGUGGGGAGCAAA
rnacentral:rRNA from 1 species